rnacentral:rRNA from 1 species
GACGAACGCUGGCGGCGUGCUUAACACAUGCAAGUCGAACGGAAAGGCCCAGCUUUCUGGGUACUCGAGUGGCGAACGGGUGAGUAACACGUGGGUGAUCUGCCCCUGACUUUGGGAUAAGCCUGGGAAACUGGGUCUAAUACCUGAUAUGACCUUACAUCGCAUGGUGUUUUGUGGAAAGCUUUUGCGGUUGGGGAUGGGCCCGCGGCGUAUCAGCUUGUUGGUGGGGUAAUGGCCUACCAAGGCGACGACAGGUAGCCGACCGGAGGGGGUGAUCGGCCACACGGGAACUGAGACACGGCCCAGGCUCCUACGAGAGGCAGCAGUAGGGAAGGGGCCGCAACGGGGGGAAGCCUGACGGAGCGGCGCCGCGUGAGAGACGAAGGCCUUCGGAUCGGAAAACUCUGUUAUGAGUGAAGAACAAUUGUGUAAGGAACUAGGCACGUCGUGACGGUACCUGAACAGAAAGCCACGGCUAGCUACGUG